rnacentral:rRNA from 2 species
UUUCCCCCGGCGAACUAGCAUAUCAAUAAGCGGAGGAAAAGAAACCAACAGGGAUUGCCUCAGUAACGGCGAAGUGAAGCGGCAACAGCUCAAAUUUGAAAUCUGGCCCCCAGGCCCGAGUUGUAAUUUGCAGAGGAUGCUUUUGGUGAGGUGCCUUCCAAGUUCCCUAGAACGGGACGCCAGAGAGGGUGAGAGCCCCGUACAGUUGGACACCGAGCCUUUGUAAAGCUCCUUCGACGAGUCGAGUAGUUUGGGAAUGCUGCUCAAAAUGGGAGGUAUAUUUCUUCUAAAGCUAAAUACCGGCCAGAGACCGAUAGCGCACAAGUAGAGUGAUCGAAAGAUGAAAAGCACUUUGAAAAGAGGGUUAAACAGCACGUGAAAUUGUUAAAAGGGAAGCGCUUGUGACCAGACUUGCGUCCGGUGAAUCACCCAGCUCUCGCGGCUGGGGCACUUCGCCGGCUCAGGCCAGCAUCAGCUCGCUGUCGGGGACAAAAGCUUCAGGAACGUAGCUCUCUUCGGGGAGUGUUAUAGCCUGUUGCAUAAUACCCUUCGGCGGGCUGAGGUACGCGCUCCGCAAGGAUGCUGGCAUAAUGGUCAUCAGCGACCCGUCUUGAAACACGGACCAAGGAGUCAACCUUAUGUGCGAGUGUUCGGGUGUCAAACCCCUACGCGUAAUGAAAGUGAACGCAGGUGAGAGCUUCGGCGCAUCAUCGACCGAUCCUGAUGUUCUCGGAUGGAUUUGAGUAAGAGCAUAUAGGGUUGGACCCGAAAGAAGGUGAACUAUGCGUGUGUAGGGUGAAGCCAGAGGAAACUCUGGUGGAGGCUCGCAGCGGUUCUGACGUGCAAAUCGAUCGUCAAACAUGCGCAUGGGGGGCGAAAGACUAAUCGAACCUUCUAGUAGCUGGUUUCCGCGC